CUUCUACGUCUGCCCGCCCAUCUGUUCCGACCCCAGAUUAGAGAAGGAGUUGUCACCGGUGGCAUGCUGGAGGCUUGAGCCUGCAGCAGCAUGGCUCGCCUCACUGUGGCUGGUGGCAGUGAGGUAGAGUACAGCACAGCCAAAGUGGUAGAAAGGUGGCAGAGUAGGUGAGCUAUCCAGGGACUUGUGGCGGGGGGAGAGGGGCAGUGAGCUCAGGGGCCAAGGAUUGGAUGCACUAUCGUGAACUACACUGCCCAAGGCUUUUCUGGCUUUGCCCAUCCAGUUGCUCCGUGCCAGGAGAAGGAGUAGCCACCUGCACAUGCUGGAGGCUGGAGCCAGGGACACCACGGCUUGCCUCGCUGUGGUUGGCGUGGUGGCAGCGAUGGAGACUGCAGAGUGCCAGAGAGGACCUUGGUGCUUGUAGCAUCUACCUACCUCCUGUCGUUGUGAUGAGGACACUUUGAAAACGGGAUGGGAGCUACAUAUGCAAAAGAUGCCAUACAGAUGCUAUAUUAACCUGCAUUAUAGUCCCACAAAUUAAAAUGUAUUCCUUUGAUAAAAAUAAAAACAUUAAAACCCCA